AACGAACGCUGGCGGCAUGCCUAAUACAUGCAAGUCGAACGAGAGCUUCGGGUCUAGUGGCGCACGGGUGCGUAACGCGUGGGAACCUGCCCUUAGGUUCGGAAUAACUCCCCGAAAGGGGUGCUAAUACCGGAUAAUGUCUUCUGACGAAAGAUUUAUCGCCUUUGGAUGGGCCCGCGUUGGAUUAGCUAGUUGUUAGGGUAAAAGCCUACCAAGGCGACUAUUCAUAGCUGGUCUGAGAGGAUGAUCAGCCACACUGGGACUGAGACACGGCCGGGACUCCUACGGGAGGCAGCAGGGGGGAAUAUUGGACAGUGGGCGAAAGCCUGAGCCAGCAAUGCCGCGUGAGUGAUGAAGGCCUUAGGGUUGUAAAGCUCUUUUACCCGGGAAGAUAAUGACAGUACCGGGAGAAUAAGCUCCGGCUAACUCCGUG
rnacentral:rRNA from 1 species